rnacentral:rRNA from 1 species
CACAAGCGGAGGAGCAUGUGGUUAAUUCGAUGAUACGCGAGGAACCUUACCUGGGCGUGAACGUAAGAUGACUGUAGGUGAAAGCUUACAUCUCUUCGGAGCAUUUUACGAGGUGCUGCAUGGUUGUCGUCAGCUCGUGCCGUGAGGUGUCGGGUUAAGUCCCAUAACGAGCGCAACCCCUACCUUUAGUUGCCAUCAGGUAAUGCUGGGGACUCUAAAGGAACUGCCUACGCAAGUAGUGAGGAAGGCGGGGAUGACGUCAAAUCAGCACGGCCCUUACGUCCAGGGCUACACACGUGCUACAAUGGCCGAUACAGAGGGCAGCUACCUGGUGACAGGAUGCAAAUCUCCAAAGUCGGUCUCAGUUCGGAUCGGAGUCUGCAACCCGACUCCGUGAAGUUGGAUUCGCUAGUAAUCGCGCAUCAGCCAUGGCGCGGUGAAUACGUUCCCGGGCCUU